rnacentral:rRNA from 1 species
UGGGGAAUAUUGGACAAUGGGCGAAAGCCUGAUCCAGCCAUGCCGCGUGUGUGAAGAAGGUCUUCGGAUUGUAAAGCACUUUAAGUUGGGAGGAAGGGCAGUAAGCGAAUACCUUGCUGUUUUGACGUUACCGACAGAAUAAGCACCGGCUAACUCUGUGCCAGCAGCCGCGGUAAUACAGAGGGUGCAAGCGUUAAUCGGAAUUACUGGGCGUAAAGCGCGCGUAGGUGGUUCGUUAAGUUGAAUGUGAAAGCCCCGGGCUCAACCUGGGAACUGCAUCCAAAUCUGGCGGGCUAGAGUAGGGCAGAGGGUGGUGGAAUUUCCUGUGUAGCGGUGAAAUGCGUAGAUAUAGGAAGGAACACCAGUGGCGAAGGCGACCACCUGGGCUCAUACUGACCCUGAGGUGCGAAAGCGUGGGGAGCAAACAGG